CGUAUUUGACGACCUCCGUGUGUCUCUGUCAGCAAGUGUCUCCGGGGGGCCUGCCAAGGACUGAAACCCAUCAGCUCUCUGAACCAUAGCAGGCAGACAGG